rnacentral:piRNA from 1 species
UGGUAGAGCUCAAGUUCUAUGUGAUUCUAG